rnacentral:misc_RNA from 1 species
AAGUCGUAACAAGGUAACCGUAGGUGAACCUGCGGUUGGAUCAUUGAGAAGCGGAAGCGUUAGCGGAGAGCGUGGAGUCUCUGGGGGCAACCCCGAUAAGAUAAGGGAAAAUAUGGUGAUGUAUAUAAAUAAUAAAUAUAAUACAACUUUUGGCAACGGAUCUCUAGGCUCUC